rnacentral:rRNA from 1 species
UAAUACGAAGGGGGCUAGCGUUGUUCGGAAUCACUGGGCGUAAAGCGCACGUAGGCGGACUUUCAAGUCAGGGGUGAAAUCCCGGGGCUCAACCUCGGAAUUGCCUUUGAUACUGUAGGUCUCGAGUCCGGAAGAGGUGGGUGGGAUUCCUAGUGUAGAGGUGAAAUUCGUAGAUAUUAGGAAGAACACCGGUGGCGAAGGCGGCCCACUGGUCCGGUACUGACGCUGAGGUGCGAAAGCGUGGGGAGCAAACA